UCUCUGUGGGCUUUUCCUCUCUUGAGUUUUCGCGUGUUUGUGUCAAACUCCAGAUUAAUCCAUAGCCUCUCUUUGCUUGCCUUCCGAAACUCUCCCCAGUCCCUGCUUAUCGUGUUACCCGGCAACCGUUGGGACUUCCCCAGUGGAGGAUUAUGACACUCUUGCUUUGAUGCCAGGCGACCCAGUGCAAAGCCCCCUGUGAUUGUCAGGAGCAGAGAAGGUGAUAAUGCUGCUGGCUGGUGGCCACCAGGGUCAGUGCUGGCCUGUCUGGACGAAAAAGGGAAGCUCACGCCUGAGCUGCCUCUGGAGGGUGCUGGGAGAAAUGGCCUGCCUCCUACAUCAGCCAGAAGAGGAAAAGAAGGGGAAGGAGCUCAACUUUCAAGCUUACCAUGAGGAAGGUGCAUGGGUACUCUCCAUUCUUAUCCCAUUGGCCAGAACUUUGUCCGUGGACAUGCCUCAGUCCAAAGGAGUCUGGGAAAUGUGGUCUUGAACUGGGCAGCCGUGUCCCACCUAAAAAUUCCACAACCGUGAAAAAGAAGGAAGAGAUGUAUCAGGAAACGGCAUUUCUGUCACAGGUGAGCGGAAGAAAUUGCCUUGUGAAUACGAUGAUGAUUAUCCUUUGCAACUGGCCCCGGGAAGAAGUAACUUCCCCGGGAGGAAAACCAUUUGGCUGUCUGCCAGGUCUUUGCACGGCAAACUACAGAUUUUGAUAAACAGACCACUGCACACUUCUCCCUGGCAAGAAUAUAAAGCCCAGUGAUAAUAAGGCAUAUGAGUGCCAUAAACCCUAAGUAGCUGUUUUGAAGUCAUCAGAAUGCAGCACCUACUGGAUAAUUCACCCAAUCUGUCAGAAUGCUGCUUCCUGCUUCCACCAUCAACCAUUUGGAAUUAACUCUAAAGCAGGUCUGCUGUGGAGUCUAAAUCUAGAAAUAGUAGAAUGUAAGCUCUGGAGAUAUUAAAUUUGUGGCAGGCACUUA